GGUGGUUCAGUGGUAGAGUGCUUGCCUUGCAUGCAUGAGGUCCUGAGUUCAAUUCCUCAGCACCA
rnacentral:tRNA from 1 species